AUGACCUUGCCACGGCCUUGGCGGCGCCGUUGGACACGGGGGUGUGUUCUGGGCAGCCCUGCGGCGUCUGCCGCAGCUUCCCGGAGGGGCCGGCCGCUGUCUUCGGGGUGGCAGUGCCGGCGGGGACUGCGGUCAGGAGGCCUCCACGACGCCGAAGUUGUCGUGGGUGACCUUGGCAGCGGGGCUGAGCCGCCGGCGGUGCAGGAAGCGUUGCUGAUGGUCUCCAGGGAGUUGUCAUGGUGGGCAAGACACGAGUGGGCUCCCCCACGGACUCGGCGCCAGCACCGCCCACUCGACGUUGGUGGGAUCCCGCUCUCGGGAGGUGGUGACGGCCUUUCCGCUGAGCCCGUGUCUUCCAACAGUACAAGCAGAUCCAGUGAGACCAGCAGCACUGCGAAGCCAUUAACACCUAUAGCUUCCUCGGUGUCCGUCAGCGUGACGGCUGGCCCCACGAAGUCCACAGCGACUUCUAAAAUGGCAACACCGGGGGUCUCAACCAGUGCGGCUCCCACCACCUCAAAGUCUACACCGAAAGCAACGAGCAUGUCACAGAACACAUCGCGCGUGCCAGUCCCCGCGGCGACCACGACCCACGGGAGCUUGGUGACCUCCCCGACAACUGUUCAUUCUCAGGAAAGCGGAGGAUCCAGAUUCGAUCCGGGCAGCUUUGUCGGUGGUAUUGUACUGACACUGGGAGUCUUGUCUGUUCUUUACAUCGGAUGCAAAAUGUAUUACUCAAGAAGAGGCAUUCGGUACAGAACCAUUGAUGAACAUGAUGCCAUCAUUUAAGGAAAUCCAAGAACCAAGCAAAGAAGAAAGAUGGAUGCAGCUCU
rnacentral:lncRNA from 1 species